ensembl:lncRNA
UAAGGAACUGCCCUCACCUGGUUGUCUAGGCUACUAAUUAGUAAGGAACUGCCCUCACCUGGUUGUCUAGGCUACUAAUUAGUAAGGAACUCCCCUCACCUGGUUGUCUAGGCUACUAAUUAGUAAAGAACUGCCCUCACCUGGUUGUCAAGGCUACUAAUUAGUAAGGAACUGCCCUCACCUGGUUGUCUAACUCUUUGAGAGGAAACACCAGACCUGACAUUAGACAGUCAUUCAUAAGGGAGGGAGGGAGAAACAUUUUAAGACUGUUGGGACUAGCUUUUAGCUAGUGAGUCAUGACGUCAUGAUACCCUCAGUGUUAGAGACAGCAUCUAUUGAGAGAACCCUGCUGAAAACUAGUGAGUCAUGACACCCUCAGUGUUAGAGACAGCAUCUAUUGAGAGAACCCUGCUGAAGACUAGUGAGUCAUGACACCCUCAGUGUUAGAGACAGCAUCUAUUGAGAGAACCCUGCUGAAGACUAGUGAGUCAUGACACCCUCAGUGUUAGAGACAGCAUCUAUUGAGAGAACCCUGCUGAAGACUAGUGAGUCAUGACAUCAUGUUUCCCUCAGUGUUAGACAGCAUCUAUUGAGAGAACCCUGCUGAAGACUAGUGAGUCAUGACGUCAUGAUGCCCUCAGUGUUAGAGACAGCAUCUAUUGAGAGAACCCUGCUGAAGACUAGUGAGUCAUGACAUCAUGAUGCCCUCAGUGUUAGACAACAUCUAUUGAGAGAACCCUGCUGAAGACUAGUGAGUCAUGACGUCAUGAUGCCCUCAGUGUUAGAGACAGCAUCUAUUGAGAGAACCCUGCUGAAGACUAGUGAGUCAUGACAUCAUGAUGCCCUCAGUGUUAGAGACAGCAUCUAUUGAGAGAACCCUGCCGAAGACUAGUGAGUCAUGACAUCAUGAUGCCCUCAGUGUUAGACAGCAUCUAUUGAGAGAACCCUGCUGAAGACUAGUGAGUCAUGACGUCAUGAUGCCCUCAGUGUUAGAGACAGCAUCUAUUGAGAGAACCCUGCUGAAGACUAGUGAGUCAUGACAUCAUGAUGCCCUCAGUGUUAGAGACAGCAUCUAUUGAGAGAACCCUGCUGAAGACUAGUGAGUCAUGACAUCAUGAUGCCCUCAGUGUUAGAGACAGCAUCUAUUGAGAGAACCCUGCUGAAGACUAGUGAGUCAUGACGUCAUGAUGCCCUCAGUGUUAGAGACAGCAUCUAUUGAGAGAACCCUGCUGAAGACUAGUGAGUCAUGACAUCAUGAUGCCCUCAGUGUUAGAGACAGCAUCUAUUGAGAGAACCCUGCUGAAGACUAGUGAGUCAUGACAUCAUGAUGCCCUCAGUGUUCGAGACAGCAUCUAUUGAGAGAACCCUGCUGAAGACUUGAACUCAGGCUAAGAUGCUAUUUAUCAAACGAAAUGUCGUGUAUAUAGAAAUGCAUUCCUCAAUGGUGUUAUUAUUGUUAAAGCUUUAUUUAACUUGGCAAGUCAGUUAAGAACAAAUUCUUAUUUACAAAGACGGCCUACAGGGGCAGAACGACUGAUUUUAACCUUGUUCAGCUCGGGGAUUCGAUCCAUCAACUUGCCCAUCUCUCUAACCACUAGGCUACCUGCCUCCCAAGCAGUAUGGUUGAUUCACUAUCAGGUUUUCAUUCUGAGUGUUAAAUUUAUUGAAUUGAUCUGAUGAGUAUUGUAGAUGUGUGGAAACAGGAGAGGCAGGGCUGUGGUCAGAGGAUGUUGCUGACAGACAGAAGGUUGUAGAUGUGGGGAAACAGGAGAGGCAGGGCUGUGGUCAGAGGAUGUUGCUGACAGACAGAAGGUUGUAGAUGUGGGGAAACAGGAGAGGCAGGGCUGUGGUCAGAGGAUGUUGCUGACAGACAGAAGGUUGUAGAUGUGUGGAAACAGGAGAGGCAGGGCUGUGGUCAGAGGAUGUUGCUGACAGACAGAAGGUUGUAGAUGUGGGGAAACAGGAGAGGCAGGGCUGUGGUCAGAGGAUGUUUCUGACAGACAGAAGGUUUUUAGUUGAGAGGUAAAAGGUUCCCUACAUAUUCAAGGUGUUUCUGUUCUGUUUGAAUCUGGAUUCUUUGCAGAGGGGAAGUGACCCGAAGAUGUUGCUGUAUCGUCCGUUUGCACUGGGAGGAGGCAGAAAGGCAGCGUUUCUGCUGUCCAGUGAGAUUCGAGCAGAAAUCAUCUGAUACCCAAUGAUAUUAGAUCUAUAUUUGUGUGGAAUACUUCAGGAAGGACCCCUGGACUUUGUCCACAUUUUGUUGUGUUACAGCCUGAAUUUAAAAUGGAUUAAAUUCAUUGUGUUUGACACUGUCCAACACACAAUAUUCCAAAGCAUGCAUCUUGUUUGCAACAAGGCACUAAAGUAACACUGCAAAAAUGUGGCAAAGAAAUUAACUUUUUGUCCUGAAUACAAAGUGUUACGUUUGGGGCAAAUCCAAUACAACACAUUACUGAGUACCACUCUCCAUAUUUUCAAGCAUAGUGGUGGCUGCAUCAUGUUAUGGGUAUGCUUGUAAUUGUUAAGGACUGGGGAGUUUUUCAGGAUAAAAAAAUAAACAGACUGGAGCUAAACACAGGAAGAAUUCUAGAGGAAAACCUGGUUCAGUCUGCUUUCCACCAGACACUGGGAGAGGAGUUCACCUUUCAUCAGGACAAUAAACCUAAAACACAAGGCCAAAAUCUACACUGGAGUUGCUUACCAAGAAGACCGUGAAUGUUCCUGAGUGGCCGAGUUACUGCUGACCUAAAUCUACUUCACAAUCUAUGUCAAGACCUGAAAAUAGUUGAGUAGCAAUGAUCAACAACCAAUUUGACAGAGCUUGAAGAAUUUUGAAAAGAAUAAAUGGGCAAAUGUUGCACAAUCCAGGUGUGGAAAGCUCUUAAGAGAUUUACCCAGAAAGCCUAGCAGCUUUAAUCACUGCCAAAGGUGCUUAUACAAAGUAUUGACCAUUAAGGUUUUCACUUUGUCAUUAUGGGGUAUUGUGUGUAGAUGGGUGAGAAUUAUUCACGCUCUGGCAAAUUGGUUGUUGAUCAUUGCUAGACAGCCAUUUUUUUUAUUAUAGGUCUUUCCAUAGAUGUUCAAGUAGAUGUAAGUCUAAACUAAACUAUCUAGUCAGGAACAUCCACUGUCUUGGUCGCAACUCUAGUGUAGAUUUGAUCUUGUGUUUAAGGUGUGAAUACAUGAGAUAUUUCAGCUCAUUUCUUUUUCAACACGUUUGCUAAAAUUUCUAAACACAUUUUCACUUUGUCAUUAUGGAGUUUUGUGUGUAGAUGGGUGAGAUAAAAAAAUAUAUAAAUUGAAUCCAUUUUGAUUUCAGGGUCAAAGGUUAUGACUACUGUACUUUCUGAAGGCACUGUAUCGAUGAAGAACCUGAAAACAUUUCACUUUUAAGAAAACAAAAGUAAAGUAUAAAUAAAGUAUAUUAAGUAUAAAUAAAAAUGUUUUUUGGGGGGUUCACGGUUGUUGUUGUUGACCAUUUUCACUUUGUAAAGAUUUUUCUAAAUUCCUUCAUGUCAGAGAACAAAAUUAAAGAUGAGUUAAAUCUAUUUACUGUUUAGUGAGAAUCUGUCCAUCAUAUCGCUUGAAUACAGGAUGAAUGGAAGUUAAACUGGAGUAAAUGGUUUUUAACUUAAAACUAUAGUUCAGCUAGACAAUAUAAUGACAUGAACAUUUUGUGGUUAAAUAUACUGAACAAAAAUAUAUGCAAGCAAUUUCAAAGAUUUUACUGAGUUACAGUUUAUAAGGAAAUCAAUCAAUUGAAAUCAAUUCAUUAGGGCCCUAAUCUAUGGAUUUCACAUGACUGGGCAGGGGCUCAGCCAUGUGUGGGCUGGGAGGGCAUCGGCCCA